rnacentral:sRNA from 1 species
CCCACAGCCAGUUCUUUGACCUUAUGUUGUAUUCUCAUGGUCAAAUAGAAAUUGACGAUCAGGUGGAAGGACUCCAAUAUCUAGCUUCUCGAUAUGAUUUCAUUGACUUAGAUCGUGUGGGCAUCCACGGCUGGUCCUAUGGAGGAUACCUCUCCCUGAUGGCAUUAAUGCAGAGGUCAGAUAUCUUCAGGGUUGCUAUUGCUGGGGCCCCAGUCACUCUGUGGAUCUUCUAUGAUACAGGAUACACGGAACGUUAUAUGGGUCACCCUGACCAGAAUGAACAGGGCUAUUACUUAGGAUCUGUGGCCAUGCAAGCAGAAAAGUUCCCCUCUGAACCAAAUCGUUUACUGCUCUUACAUGGUUUCCUGGAUGAGAAUGUCCAUUUUGCACAUACCAGUAUAUUACUGAGUUUUUUAGUGAGGGCUGGAAAGCCAUAUGAUUUACAGGUGAGUUACUCUACAUUUUCUAGUUAAAUGCAGUCAUGAUUAGUGAUUGAUUACUUUGAAAUCUAUUAACUGUGGGGUAAGGCCAGAUUUUUAGAGUGUCCAUCCUCUGCUUAAGAGAACUAAAGUAAGAGGUGUAUUUAGUAGUGCCUGUGGUUGGAUAAAAAUUAAGAUUCUGUCGCAGUCAGGCUGACAUACCUGCCUGUCAGAUUACAUGACUGUGUGUCUGUAUCUGCUUGCAGUUUGGAAGCAUGGAAAAGAUG